rnacentral:lncRNA from 1 species
AGUUUUCAAGGUGACCCACCGGGAGUAGCAUUUCCAGGGCUCCCAGUCACCACUUGGGAACCCACAGUAGCUCCUCCCAGAAUCAGCCUCCAAUCCAAUCCGUGCUACUCCUUUCUGCACUCUUCCUCGCUCUUCCAGCUCAGACCUCCGUCUUCUCUCCCUCUAGCCCGAGCUGCAAGCUAAGUUCCCAAUUACCCCCGACUUGUAGCACCCUCUCCUUACCUGGCCUGACCCUGCCUGCAACCUUUCUGACAAGAUCAUCCUCAACAGCCCCGCCUGCCAAGCCCUUCAGAGGCAGCUUCAGCGUAGCUCACACCACCCCCUCGUGGUCCAAAAGCAAAGGUGCAGACUGGCGGUCCUCACCUGGAAGGGAUCUCCUUGCGCUUGAGCGUCAAGAAAUCCUUUGCCUCCCGUGGAAUCUGAUGAAGCCAAGGUGGCUGGAUUAAUAUCCGCAAAAGCAGGAGGGCUCCUGGAGGUGGAAAUGCUUUCUACCUGGGAGGUCAAUAACUGCUAUAGAUCAUUCUUAAACUAAGAGCUGGCAGAGAGAGGAAGGAACCCAUGUUGGCCCAAACUGAAGAGACCCAGCUGAACUUGUCCCUGAAGCCAGGUUGACAGAGGCUCCUCCUGCGCGCUGCCCGGGGAGGCAGAAGGGCAAAGACUCCCAGACGGCGUCACCAGACACCUCCUCCCCCAGACGUGCCACCCCUUUCUUUGAUCAUUUUGCUUUACUAUGUUUUCUUUCAUUUUAUUUUAUUUUCCACUCCCCAGGAAAUCAAGUUCAUCAUCACUCCGCAGGACACAGCACAUGGUUAGCCUCAGACGGCUCAAGGCCUCUCUGGCUUUCCUUUACGAAAUUAUUGUCCCAAUUCAUCUCAUCCUAACGUUGCAGCCCUCUGGCUGUUCAUAAAGACCAGCCUCCACCCCACACACCGCCUUCUAGUGGGUUCUCUUCUUGCUGGGCAAAUGAGUCAGGGUGAGCAGCCUCAGGAGCUGUGGGGAUGAAGACUUGCUGCCUUUCUCUCUGUGUCAUCCAGGAGUCAUGAAAUCCCUUUGCUGUGACCCUUUAACUCUGGGAGAGCAUCACCCCCUUGAGAAUCCGGCAAAAUGAGCUAGCCCUCUGUAGCAGUCGCCGCUGGUAACUGACCCACAGCCUCUCGGCGUUCCUUGUUCUCGUGCAAUGGAUGCCGUAACAGAGUACCGCAGACUGGGCACCUUAAACAACAGAAACGUAUUUCUCGCAGUUCUGGAGCCUGCAAAUCCGAGAUCAAGGUGUCGGCAGGGUUGGUUUCUCCAGAGGCCUCUCUCCUUGGCUUGCAGAUGGCCGCCCUCUUGCUGCCUCUCCCCAUGGUGGUCCCUCUGCACACGCACAUACCUCGUGUCUCUUUGUGUGUCCAAAUUUCUUUUUCUUAUAAGGACACCGGUCAUAUUGGAUCAGGGCCCACCCUAACGGCCUCAUUUUAACUUAAUUACCUCUUUAAAGGCCCUCUCUCUACAUAUGGUCACAUUCUGAGGGCUUCGGGCUGGAGGUUGGGGCUUCGACAUAUGAAUUUGAGGGCGAGCAGACACAAUUCAUCCCUUAGCAUUGUUGUUGCAGGCUCCUGCUACUCUGCCUGGCAGCUUUUCUGCUCUGGGCUGAUGCUUAGUUUACACAUUGCAAAACUGUAAAGGCUUUUUGGGGUAAGAAUGCGCCUUCUUAAGGAUCCAGGGGAGUGGAGAAUUAAGUCCUGAACAUCUGGUUUGGUUUGGUUUGGUUUGGUUUGAGGAAGAUUAGCCUUGAGCUGACAUCUGCUGCCAAUCCUCCUCUUUUUGCUGAGGAAGAUUAGCCCUGAGUUAACAUCCAUGCCCAUCUCCCUCUACUUUAUAUGUGGGACGCCUACCACAGCAUGGCUUGCCAAGUCGUGCCAUGUCUGCACCUGGGAUCCAAACCAGAAAACCCUGGGCCGCCAAAGUGGAACAUGCGAACUUAACCACUGCACCACUGGGCCGGCCCCCUGAACAUCUCUAUUUUAAUAUUGGAAUUAACCUAUCUAAAUACAUUGCAAUUACUGACACUGUUGAAUUGUCUCACCUCAUCUUCUGUUUUCUAUUUACCAUGCUUUCUUGUUACUUCAAACUUACCACGUGUGAGGCCCAAGGCUGAGGGCACAAUGGUGAACAAGACAGGCAAAGUCCCUGACUUGGCAGGACCUACCAUGAUGCAGAGUUGUGUCCAAGAACAUCCUUGGUGGCAAACAACAGGCGACCCAGUGUUUCGUCGGUUUGAAUCCUGGGCAUGGACAUGGCACCGCUCAUCAAGCCACGCUGAGGUGGCGUCCCACAUGCCACAACUGGAAGGACCCACAACGAAGAAUAUACAACUAUGUACCAGGGGGCUUUGGGGAGAAAAAGGAAAAAAAUAAAAAUAAAAACUUUAAAAACAAAAAGCAUAAACAAAAAAAAA